rnacentral:rRNA from 1 species
UACGUAGGGUGCGAGCGUUGUCCGGAAUUAUUGGGCGUAAAGAGCUCGUAGGCGGUCUGUCGCGUCGAUCGUGAAAACUUGGGGCUUAACCCUGAGCUUGCGGUCGAUACGGGCAUGACUGGAGUUCGGCAGGGGAGACUGGAAUUCCUGGUGUAGCGGUGAAAUGCGCAGAUAUCAGGAAGAACACCAAUGGCGAAAGCAGCUUUCUGGGACGGUACUGACGCUGAGACGCGAAAGCGUGGGGAGCGAACAGG